GUUAAGAAAACGAUCCGAGUGGAGGUUGACAGGAUGUCCGGCAAGCUCGGCGAAGUGGCACAAACUCCUUGUAGCGAUCGGUUUGAGCAGGAAGGAAAACCGUGGGAGAAGGAGAAGGAGAAGGGAAGUUUGACGGGGGGGAGGGUGGGGGCUCUAUCUUACGGCCUGUGUAACUUACCGUUGCUUCAAAUGUAUACAACGGCUGGAAGUGUUUUCAACACAAGGUAUCUGAGCUGUUAAACGUGAGUCUUAAACAUGUACUCCCUUAAGGAAUGGACCUAUGGAAACGUUGCUCCCCGAAUUCCCUACGAAUCUGCCUAGAGAUGUGAAUGCCUACAUUCGCUUAAGCAUCAGACCGAUGCUUGUAUAUACCGGGGCCAUACACACUCAUUUCAACGUCUCUCUGCAGAUGUAUUUCCCCUUCAUCGGUGACCUGGUAUUUAGAAUUCUGUCUUUUCAGUUGAUUUAGUCCCCUUUAAAUGUGGUGUCUCUGUGCCGAUGAUUAAACCGGUUCUUACUUGUUUUUAUUUUGCGAUCUGUUUUGAAGUCCAGUGCUUUACUGAGACUUAAUUGCAUCUUGGCUGAUUUCAAAGUGACACCUGAAUACAGUGUUUUUUAAAAAAAAAGUUCGUUUGUAAAUCAUGUGACCUGUUUGUAAAUCAUGUGACCAGCUUCUCUCAACCUGACAUGGGAUGUCUCUUGUACUACAGCGUAUUUAAUAAAAAAAAAAAAAA
rnacentral:lncRNA from 1 species